rnacentral:rRNA from 1 species
GUAGGUGGCAAGCGUUGUCCGGGAAUUAUUGGGGCGUAAAGCGCGCGCAGGCGGCUCUUUAAGUCUGAUGUGAAAGCCCACGGGCUCAACCGUGGAGGGUCAUUGGAAACUGGAGAACUUGAGUACAGAAGAGGAAAGCGGAAUUCCACGUGUAGCGGUGAAAUGCGUAGAGAUGUGGAGGAACACCAGUGGCGAAGGCGGCUUUCUGGUCUGUAACUGACGCUGAGGCGCGAAAGCGUGGGGAGCAAACAGGAUUAGAUACCCUGGUAGUCCACGCCGUAAACGAUGAGUGCUAAGUGUUAGGGGGUUUCCGCCCCUUAGUGCUGCAGCUAACGCAUUAAGCACUCCGCCUGGGGAGUACGGCCGCAAAGGCUG